rnacentral:lncRNA from 1 species
AGGACUGAAUCAUCAGAGCAGAGGAACACCUUUAGUGCAGAGUGAGUGUGUGUGUGUGACAGAGAGAGAGAGAGUGUGUGUGUGUGUGACAGAGAGAACACGCUCCCAUCCAAGGUCUCACUCUCCAUGACACGGAGAUAAAGUGUCUUCUUUACGCAGACGACCUGCUUCUCCUGUCGCCCACUAAAGAAGGGCUUCAGGACAGCCUGAAUCUGCUGGAGGAUUACUGCCAGACCUGGGCCCUGACAGUCAACCUCCAAAAAACUAAAGCCAUGAUCUUCCAGAAAUGCUCCAGACCUCAGGGACUAACACACACAUUCACACUAUCACACAGAACCAUUGAAACCACAAAAACAUACACUUACCUCGGCCUAAAGAUUACUCCAACAGGUAACUUUACUUUGGCUGUGAAUGAGCUCAAAGAGAAAGCUCAAAGGGCUUUCUAUGCCAUCAAAAGAUCAAUUAAAAUUGACAUCCCAAUCCAAAUCUGGCUCAAACUUUUCAAAUCAGUUAUCGAACCAAUUGUAUUAUAUGGCAGUGAAGUCUGGGGUCCAUCUAUAAAAUUAGAUUUUUUAAACUGGGAAAAACAUCCAAUUGAAAAAAUGCAUUUAGAUUUCUGUAAAAGAAUACUCAAAGUCCAAAGAAAAACACCAAAUAACGGAUGCAGGGCAGAAUUAGGCCAAUACCCUCUCCUUCUAAACAUCCAAAAAAGAGCCAUCAAAUUCUGGAAACACCUAAAGACAAGCGACCCCAGCACAUACCAUUAUAAAGCCCUGAAGCACCAAGAGCUGAGCCUCACGAAGAGUCCCCUCCUUCAGCUGCUGCUGAGACUGACAGAGAUCAGCCAGCCUCAGGACUCACACGCACUCUCAACCAUUCGGCCCACACAGAUCAUCAACACAGAGAAACACAAGUACAUCACCCACUGGACAAACACCAUCAAAAACCAGCACAGAUUAGAAUGUUAUUCGGCACUAAAUCGAGAGUACACCACGGCAAGCUACCUGAGCACAGUGACUGAUGUGAAGCUCAGGAAAACACUGACGAUGUACAGACUCAGCGAGCACAGUCUGUCUGUAGAGACGGGCCGGCGCAGACAAACCUGGCUCUCCCGUGAGGAGAGACUCUGCUCCCACUGCAGUCUGGGAGAGAUAGAGACAGAGCUGCACUUCCUCACAGAAUGCCCCAAAUACCUGACCAUCAGAGACCACUAUUACCCCAAAAUAAACACAAUAUUUCCCCAAUUUAAUAGUUGCACCCCAACCGAAAAACUCACCUUCAUUCUUGGUGAAAAAUCUAAGUGUGCAAAUAUAGCUGCAAAUAUAGCUUAAAUGUUAUUUAA